rnacentral:rRNA from 1 species
CGGAAGGUCCGGGCGUUAUCCGGAUUUAUUGGGUUUAAAGGGAGCGUAGGCGGGCUGUUAAGUCAGCUGUGAAAUCCGGCGGCUCAACCGUCGGCCUGCAGUUGAUACUGGCGGCCUUGAGUGCGCGCAGGGGCGUUGGAAUUCAUGGUGUAGCGGUGAAAUGCUCAGAUAUCAUGAAGAACUCCGAUCGCGAAGGCAGAUGCCCGGAGCGCAACUGACGCUGAGGCUCGAAAGUGCGGGUAUCAAACAGGAUU